rnacentral:lncRNA from 1 species
CUCUUCUCCAACCUACUCCUGCACAGUUUUCUACAUUUCAACCAACUGCAGUUCCAACCUUCCCAUUGCUGAGCCCAAAACCCUGGAGUCCUCCCCAAUGAUUUUGUUUCUCUUUCAUUCUGUAUCCAGCCCAUGAGCAAAUCCUCUUGGUUCUUGGGGGGUUUUAAACAGUACAACAGCUGCCAUCGUGGUCCAAGCCAUCACCUUGACUCGCCUGCACUCUUGUGUUCGCCUCUUGGUUGGUCUCCUUGAGUCGCCUUUUUCAAGCCUUUGCUGAAACAUCACCUUCAAUAUGAAGCUUUCCUUGGCCACCAAAUUUAAAACUGAUCAACUCCCCUUUCUGUGACACUCCUAAGACGCUUUCCCCCGGCACCCAGAAGCUUCUCUCAUGUUACAUAAUUUUCUUAUUUAUUUUAUCUAGACUUCAUCUCCCUCCUACCAGAAAGUGAGCUCCAGAGGAGCUGGGAGAAUUUGUUGUGUCCUAGGGUGUAGAAUCACGCAUGGCACAAUAACUUUUGUUCAACGAGUGAAUAUUGAGGACUCAUGUGCUCCGCAGCCUGACCUGCCACCCUCUGCCCUCUCCUUCUAGUCAUGAUCUGGCUGUUGAAUUCCUUCUCACCCUAGUUUUUCUCUCCACCCAGGUGCUUCAAGCUGGUGUCUUGAAGGACAGGCUUUGUCACUUCUCUGCCAGCUCCCCCACAUCCUACUUCUUAAACAUCCUUCCUGGCUUCUGCAGCAGCAGAUCAUAGAAUCGUCUCUGCCCGUUCAUCAGCCUCAAGGCCCUGAUAUACUUUUCCAUUCACUAAGUUUAUGCUCUGCUUGGUUGGAACUGGGAUUGGAAAUUUUAUGGUCCAGGAAUCCCUUUUCCUUUGCUGUGACAUUUUUUUCCCGACUGCUCCAACCCAUAUUGAACUGAUUUCCCCCAUACCUAAAUUAUUUUAGGGCAUGGAUAAUAACAAUAAGCAUUACAUACAUUUCUCCCUGAAUGUUUGUAACAAUAUUAGAGAGAUAUUAUUAUUAUUAUUUUAUCAACAAGAAAACUGAGGCCCAGAGAAGUUAACUAGUUAGCCAAGUUACUGUGAGAUAAUAGAGUAAAAAUUCUAAUGCAGGUUGGUCUAAAUUCAAACCUUGUGCCCUUGGCCCUUUCAUACUUACGGUCAGAACCAAAGUUAAAUUCUUAGUCACUUCUAAUUAUUUCCUGGAAGUGGGAUUCAAGUUCCCUGGGGGCUCAUAUAUAGGAAUGGUCAUACCCCUAAUCUGUCUGUGACCUCUUUGGAGCCUGGUUUAGAGGAGUCUUUCUGGCAGAUUCAUCAGGUUCGGUGGCCUUUGGUGGGAAAGGAAGAAAAUGGGACAACUUUAUGAAUCAUUAUACAAGAAAGAACAUCCCAAUAGAAAACUGCCCUGCACGGAAACUAGAAAACCCUACUCCCUUUCCCUCCUGCUUCACUACUGCAUCUUGGUGAAAACCACAAUGGCACAUGCAUGCUUAUUACGAUGGGAAAGAAAGAGAUAGAUAGGUGUGUUUUUAUAUUUUCCAACCAAAUGAUUUUUCUGCUCCUUAAGUGAUAUUUUCAGAGACUAUUGUUACUGAGGAAGCAGCCUCCUAUAAAUCUGGAAGCAGCUAAUAUAAAUCUAACCAUCCGCCUACCUAUGUAUUCAGUCCCAGGGAAGAUACGAAGUCUCUUCCUUGUAGGGAUUACGAAGAAGCAGGUACAAGUGACAAAUCAAAGAGCAAGGAUGUCCAGCAAUGCUCUGGAGGCACAGCAAUGCUCAGAGGCCAGCAACAAUCUCCCUUGGCCAUGCAAUAUUCCCCAGCUGUUCUCAUCCACAUAGAACUGGCUCAUCUUCAAAUCAGGUCCUGUAUUCACGGAGGGACCUGCAUUACUCUGGUUCACCCUGAAAAGAUGCCAUCUCAGACAGGCUGCAUGGGAAGGUGCAGUGAUCUCCCAGCCCAGCUGCCUGUCUGAACACCAGGGAUCCAGAGUGGGAAUGUGUGUAAGUCUUCACCACCAGGAGGAAACGCUAAAACCCAGAUUCCAGGGGACAGGGGAAGAUCUGCCCGUGGGGACACAGGGCAGCCAGGAGGAGCCCCGCCAGGGCUUGGCAUGUGGCACCAGCCAGGGUCAGUGAACGCCCACAGUGACAUCACAGCCAAACAACCGGGACCUUAU